UUCCGGUAGUGAACCUGCGGAAGGAUCAUUACCUAGAGUUUGCAGACUUCGGUCUGCUACCUCUUACCCAUGUCUUUUGAGUACCUUCGUUUCCUCGGCGGGUCCGCCCGCCGGUUGGACAACAUUCAAACCCUUUGCAGUUGCAAUCAGCGUCUGAAAAAACUUAAUAGUUACAACUUUCAACAACGGAUCUCUUGGUUCUGGCAUCGAUGAAGAACGCAGCGAAAUGCGAUAAGUAGUGUGAAUUGCAGAAUUCAGUGAAUCAUCGAAUCUUUGAACGCACAUUGCGCCCCUUGGUAUUCCAUGGGGCAUGCCUGUUCGAGCGUCAUUUGUACCUUCAAGCUCUGCUUGGUGUUGGGUGUUUUGUCUCGCCUCCGCGCGCAGACUCGCCUUAAAACAAUUGGCAGCCGGCGUAUUGAUUUCGGAGCGCAGUACAUCUCGCGCUUUGCACUCAUAACGACGACGUCCAAAAGUACAUUUUUACACUCUUGACCUCGGAUCAGGUAGGGAUACCCGCUGAACUUAAGCAUAUCAAUAAGCG
rnacentral:rRNA from 1 species